rnacentral:rRNA from 1 species
CGGGCCUUGUACACACCGCCCGUCACACCAUGGGAGUGGGUUGCAAAAGAAGUAGGUAGCUUAACCUUCGGGAGGGCGCUUACCACUUUGUGAUUCAUGACUGGGGUGAAGUCGUAACAAGGUAACCGUAGGGGAACCUGCGGUUGGAUCACCUCCUUA